AGAGUUUUGAUCCUGGCUCAGGAUGAACGCUAGCUACAGGCUUAACACAUGCAAGUCGAGGGGUAACAUGCGGGAGCUUGCUCCUGCUGAUGACGACCGGCGCACGGGUGAGUAACGCGUAUCCAACCUGCCCAUGACUCAGGGAUAACCUUCCGAAAGGGAGCCUAAUACCUGAUGUUCUGCGACGAUGGCAUCAGAAUUGCAGCAAAGAUUCAUCGGUCAUGGAUGGGGAUGCGUGGGAUUAGGUAGACGGCGGGGUAACGGCCCACCGUGCCAUCGAUGCCUAGGGGAGCUGAGAGGCUAAUCCCCCACACUGGUACUGAGACACGGACCAGACUCC
rnacentral:rRNA from 1 species